rnacentral:rRNA from 1 species
UACAGAGGGUGCGAGCGUUGUUCGGAAUUAUUGGGCGUAAAGGGCGCGUAGGCGGUGCGGUAAGUCACCUGUGAAAUCUCCUGGCUCAACUGGGAGCUUGCAGGCGAAACUGCCGUGCUGGAGUGUGGGAGAGGUGCGUGGAAUUCCCGGUGUAGCGGUGAAAUGCGUAGAUAUCCGGAAGAACACCGGUGGCGAAGGCGGUCUGCUGGGGUAAUGCUGACACUGAGGCGCGACAGCGUGGGGAGCAAACAGG